rnacentral:tRNA from 1 species
GACUUAAAAUCCGUCGGCUUUUUUAGACCUUGAGGGUUCAAGUCCCUCUAUUCCCA